GCAGUGGUGGUUCAGUGGUAGAAUUCUUGCCUUCCCUGCAGGAGACCACGGUACACUUCCUCGCCAUUGUA
rnacentral:tRNA from 1 species